CAGUCGCCGCGGGAAUACGAAGGGUGCAAGCGUUAAUCGGAAUUACUGGGCGUAAAGCGUGCGUAGGCGGUGAGUUAAGUCUGCUGUGAAAUCCCCGGGCUCAACCUGGGAAUGGCAGUGGAUACUGGCAAGCUAGAGUGUGUCAGAGGAUGGUGGAAUUCCCGGUGUAGCGGUGAAAUGCGUAGAGAUCGGGAGGAACAUCAGUGGCGAAGGCGGCCAUCUGGGACAACACUGACGCUGAGGCACGAAAGCGUGGGGAGCAAACAGGAUUAGAUACCCCUGUAGUCCCUGUCUCUUAUAA
rnacentral:rRNA from 1 species